CUACGGAGGGUGCAAGCGUUAUCCGGAAUCAUUGGGUUUAAAGGGUCCGUAGGCGGUCUAUUAAGUCAGAGGUGAAAUCCCACAGCUCAACUGUGGAACUGCCUUUGAUACUGGUAGACUUGAGUUACAGUGAAGUAGAUAGAAUGUGUAGUGUAGCGGUGAAAUGCAUAGAGAUUCCACAGAAUACCGAUUGCGAAGGCAGUCUACUAACUGUAUACUGACGCUGAUGGACGAAAGCGUGGGGAGCGAACAGGAUUAGAAACCCUAGUAGUCC
rnacentral:rRNA from 1 species